AGGAUUUUAAGUUAAAGUAAACUCUAAACCUUCAAAGUUUAAAAUAGAUUAUUGUCUAAAUCCUG
rnacentral:tRNA from 1 species